CAGUCAGAAUAGCUCAGUUGGUAGAGCUUGAGACUCUUAAUCUCAGGGUUGCAGGUCUGAGCCCCACACUGAGUGA